rnacentral:snRNA from 1 species
AGCCGUGCUGUGUGCACAAAGCGAACUAUUCUUUCGCCUUUUACUAAAGAAUACCGUGUGCACGCAGCAGAUAGCGGCAUACGCCUAUUUUUGGAGGAUUACCCCUAAAAGGGUAGC